GUCAAUCCUGUCCUAGCCCGCUGAUCCCAGGAGGAGGACGACAGACGUGGAGCACAGCUGGAUUGUUUCAGCCAAGGCCAGUGGACAGCCAGCCCACAGCCAGCAGAUUCUGAGAUUUAGGUCUGCCCUUGUCAUGAGAAGGACAAACCUGGAGUAGCCCAGAGGGAGGCUAUGAGACAUGUGGGCAGAGCCAGACUGCCCCAGCCAAGGCAAGGAGACAGCCAGCAGAUCCCCAGCCAAGGUCAGCGGACACCCAGCCUUUCCCACACAUGUGAUUAAGCCCGGCCAAGAUCAAUGGAAUGUCUAGCCAACUCCCUGCUGACCUGAAAGAAAGUGACCUCUGAGCAGAUGAAUUGCAAACCAUGGAAUGAACUAACGUGCCCAGGUCCUUUACUUAGGUUGUGACUCAGUGCUUGAAGGCGCUGGUGAUUUAAGCAACAGGAAGUUGGGGGCGCAGCGUAAGGACCACGUGAAGGACUUACCUGUGUGGGACCGGAGGUGCACGGUGAGCUGGCUGGAGUUGCGGCUGGCGUACGGGCAGAUCUGGCAUUUGAAGGGCCGCUCGUCGGAAUGUAUCCGCAGGUGCUUGUUGAGGCUGCUGCUGUCCGCCGCGGCGUAGUCACAUGUCUUGCACUUGUAGGGCUUCACGCCCGUGUGGCACCGCAUGUGGGUCUUCAGCUUAUCCUUCCGGCUGAAGCACUUGCUGCAGACUUCACACUUGUGGGGUUUGUCUCCUUCAGACGUGCACAGACGGCAUCAGGAAACAAGAUGAAAAAGGAAAAAGGCUUAUUUCCCACUGCCUUAUGAAAAGCGUAAGACACAGUCACCCAAGAAUAUUUAGAACCCCCCCACCCCCGGCAAAACUACACGGAUGAUGGGCAAAGAGCUAACGUCUUGGGAGAGGAGGAAUUGCUUCUUCUAUGUUGUUUAUUAGUAUUUUCUAAUUUUUCCUACAUUGAAGAUGAAUUCUUUAUCAAUUUAAAAUAGAAGGCAACUCAAAAUUUUAAAGUACAGCUGAGUAAAAUAAGAAACACUGUCUCAUACCCAUUAGUUC